CACGUAGGGCGCAAGCGUUGUCCGGAAUUAUUGGGCGUAAAGAGCUCGUAGGUGGUUUGUUACGUCCGCUGUGAAAUCCUAGGGCUUAACCCUGGGCUUGCAGUGGAUACGGGCAGACUAGAGGUAGGUAGGGGAGAAUGGAAUUCCUGGUGUAGCGGUGAAAUGCGCAGAUAUCAGGAGGAACACCGGUGGCGAAGGCGGUUCUCUGGGCCUUACCUGACACUGAGGAGCGAAAGCGUGGGGAGCGAACAGGA
rnacentral:rRNA from 1 species